rnacentral:rRNA from 1 species
GGCGGAGGAGGCAAGCGUUAUCCGGAAUUAUUGGGCGUAAAGGGUACGUAGGCGGCUGGUCAAGUCUGGGGUCAAAGGCCACAGCUCAACUGUGGGAAGGCCCUGGAAACUGACCGGCUAGAGUGAGGUAGGGGUUGCGGGAAUUCCCGGUGUAGCGGUGAAAUGCGUAGAGAUCGGGAAGAACACCUGAGGCGGAAGCGCGCAACUGGGCCUCAACUGACGCUGAUGUACGAAAGCUAGGGGAGCAAACGGG